UACGGGGGGGGUAAGCGUUGUUCGGAAUUACUGGGCGUAAAGGGCUCGUAGGCGGCCAACUAAGUCAUACGUGAAAUCCCUCAGCUUAACUGGGGAACUGCGUGUGAUACUGGAUGGCUUGGAUUUGGGAGAGGGAUGCGGAAUUCCAGGUGUAGCGGUGAAAUGCGUAGAUAUCGGAGGAACACCAGCGGCGAAGGCGGCGCUCUGGGCCGGAACUGACGCUGAGGAGCGAAAGCGUGGGGAGCAAACAGG
rnacentral:rRNA from 1 species